rnacentral:rRNA from 1 species
GAUGAACGCUGGCUACAGGCUUAACACAUGCAAGUCGAGGGGAAACGACGGGGAAGCUUGCUUCCCCGGGCGUCGACCGGCGCACGGGUGAGUAACGCGUAUCCAACCUGCCUCUGACUGAGGGAUAACCCGUCGAAAGUCGGCCUAAUACCUCAUGGCAUCGUCUGCGGGCAUCCAACGACGAUUAAAGAUUUCAUCGGUCAGAGAUGGGGAUGCGUCUGAUUAGCUUGUUGGCGGGGUAACGGCCCACCAAGGCGACGAUCAGUAGGGGUUCUGAGAGGAAGGUCCCCCACAUUGGAACUGGGACCCGGCCCAAACUCCGAGGGGAGGAGGCAGUGGGGAAUAUUGGUCAAGGGGGGGGACCCGGAACCCGCAAAGGAGCGGCCAGAGUGACGGCCCUUUGGUGUUGAACCUGCUUUUAUGGGGGGAAAAAGGAGGGGCCGUGUCCUUCAUUGCGGGUCCCGCUGAAAAAAGGACCGGCUAAUUCCGU